GCCAAGAAUUGCCCUUAACAUCAAAUCUGCUGAUUAUGAGUUUCUUCAGGAAACUCCUGGAUCAAAAAGUCAGCUCCUUCUUGAAUCCAAUCCUGUCCACAAGAAAAUCCCAGUUCUCAUUCACAAUGGUAAGCCCAUUUGUGAAUCUCUCAUCAUUGUUGAGUACAUUGAUGAGGUUUGGUCAUCUGGUCCAUCUAUUCUUCCUUCUGAUCCUUAUGAUCGUGCCAUUGCAAGAUUUUGGGGUGCCUAUGUUGAUGAGAAGUGGUUCCCAAACCUGAGAAUCCUUUCAACUGCUGAAGGAGAGGCAAGAGAUCAGGUUAUAGGGACAUUGGUUGAAGGGCUUGUACUGCUGGAGGAUGCAUUUGUUAAGAUUAGCAAAGGGAAGGCUUUCUUUGGAGGAGACCAAAUUGGGUACCUUGACAUAGCAUUUGGUUGCUACUUGGGGUGGUUGAGAGCCUCAGAGAAGAUGAAUGUAGUGAAGCUGCUAGAUGAAGCAAAUACUCCUGGUCUUGUAAAAUGGGCUGACACGUUCUCUGCUCAUCCUGCUGUGAAGGAUGUCAUGCCAGAAAUUGAUAAGCUUGUUGAGUUUGGAAAGUCUCUUGCAGCCAAAUUCAGAGCUGCAAAAACUGGGUCCUCCUAAUUAAGUAACCAUAUCAUGCCUGUUCAGCUAGUGUGUUGUUUUGAUUGCUAGAACGAAAAAGCUGCCUCAAAUUGUGAUGAAUCUUGAAACUUCAUUAUUUAGAACUAAAUUCGAGUUACUAUGAACAAUGAAAAUGUCAGGCAGCUAGUGUGCUGUUUCUGCUUUGCUAGAUUGUUGAAACGAUGCCUGUAGUACCAUGAGAGCUUAUAUAUUACAGAAAUAAAAUUGAAUUAGUAGGGACAAUAAAGAAAGAUGGUACUACAGGCAUCGUUUCAACAAUC
rnacentral:misc_RNA from 1 species